rnacentral:SRP_RNA from 2 species
GUUCGGCAUCAAUAUGGUGACCUCCUGGGAGCGGGGGACCACCAGGUUGCCUAAGGAGGGGUGAACCGGCCCAGGUCAGAAAUGGAGCAAGUCAAGACUCCCGUGCUGAUC